rnacentral:rRNA from 1 species
CAAGUCGAACGGCAGCACGGAGAGCUUGCUCUCUGGUGGCGAGUGGCGAACGGGUGAGUAAUAUAUCGGAACGUAUCCAAUAAUGGGGGAUAACGAGUCGAAAGAUUCGCUAAUACCGCAUACGCCCUACGGGGGAAAGCAGGGGAUCGUAAGACCUUACGUUAAUGGAGCGGCCGAUAUCUGAUUAGCUUGUUGGUGAGGUAAAGGCUCACCAAGGCGACGAUCAGUAGCUGGUUUGAGAGAACGACCAGCCACACUGGAACUGAGACACGGUCCAGACUCCUACGGGAGGCAGCAGUGGGGAAUUUUGGACAAUGGGGGCAACCCUGAUCCAGCCAUUCCGCGUGAGUGAAGAAGGCCUUCGGGUUGUAAAGCUCUUUCGCAAGGGAAGAAAACUUAUGAUCGAAUAAAUCAUGAGGUUGACGGUACCUUGAUAAGAAGCACCGGCUAACUACGUGCCAGCAGCCGCGGUAAUACGUAGGGUGCGAGCGUUAAUCGGAAUUACUGGGCGUAAAGCGUGCGCAGGCGGUUUUGUAAGUCGGAUGUGAAAUCCCCGGGCUCAACCUGGGAACUGCGUUCGAAACUGCAAGGCUAGAGUGUGUCAGAGGGGGGUAGAAUUCCACGUGUAGCAGUGAAAUGCGUAGAGAUGUGGAGGAAUACCAAUGGCGAAGGCAGCCCCCUGGGAUAACACUGACGCUCAUGCACGAAAGCGUGGGGAGCAAACAGGAUUAGAUACCCUGGUAGUCCACGCCCUAAACGAUGUCAACUAGUUGUUGGUAGAGUAAAAUCUAUGAGUAACGUAGCUAACGCGUGAAGUUGACCGCCUGGGGAGUACGGUCGCAAGAUUAAAACUCAAAGGAAUUGACGG